rnacentral:tRNA from 1 species
GGAGAGGUGGCUUAGUGGAUAGAGCUCAAGACUUGCAUGCUUGGGAACUCAGGUUCUAUUCCUGGCAUUACAU